rnacentral:rRNA from 1 species
GACGAACGCUGGCGGCGUGCUUAACACAUGCAAGUCGAACGAUGAAGCGGUGCUUGCACCGUGGAUUAGUGGCGAACGGGUGAGUAAUACGUGAGUGACCUACCUUUGACUCUGGGAUAAGCCUGGGAAACUGGGUCUAAUACCGGAUACGACCAAUCUCUGCAUGGGGUGUUGGUGGAAAGCGUUAUGGAGUGGUUUUAAAUGGGCUCACGGCCUAUCAGCUUGUUGGUGAGGUAAUGGCUUACCAAGGCGACGACGGGUAGCCGGCCUGAGAGGGUGACCGGCCACACUGGGACUGAGACACGGCCCAGACUCCUACGGGAGGCAGCAGUGGGGAAUAUUGCACAAUGGGCGCAAGCCUGAUGCAGCGACGCCGCGUGAGGGAUGACGGCCUUCGGGUUGUAAACCUCUGUUAGCAUCGAAGAAGCGAAAGUGACGGUAGGUGCAGAGAAAGCGCCGGCUAACUACGUG